rnacentral:lncRNA from 1 species
AAGGAACUGGGAGCACAAGUAGUUUUCUCAUCUAUCCUUCCUGUGGAUGGUCAUGGAAAAAGAAGAUGGGACAGGAUUCUUGAGGUGAACAAUUGGCUACGUCAAUGGUGCUAUCGGCAAGGAUUUGGAUUUCUGAACCAUGGAGAAAACUACCUAUAUGAUGGACUCCUUGCAAGAGAUGGGCUGCACCUUAUAAAGACAGGGAAGAAUGUAUUUGGCAAGCGCCUUGCUUCACUCAUCAGGAGAGCUUUAAACUAAAACAAAAGGGGAAGGGGAAAAAAUGUCAAAGAAAAAUACUCAGUCAAUCAAUACAGGCGAUAUUCUUGCUACCAGAAGUAGAAGUAAAGAACAAAAGCAAAAGGUUUGUAAGGAAAGUGGAGGAGUCAAGCUUGUAAGAGGUAUCAGUCGCAAACUAAAAUGCUUCUACACCAAUGCACAGAGUAUGAGAAAUAAAAAAGGAGAACUGGAGAUCCUAACACAGGAAGAUAAAUAUGAUGUCAUAGGCAUUACGGAAACCUGGUGGGAUAACGCACAUGAAUGGAACACGGACAUCGAAGGCUACAACUUAUUUUUGCGAAACAGACUUAACAAAAGAGGAGGGGGUACUGCACUGUAUGUUAAAAAAGCAUUUGUCUCCUCAGAGAUUCAGGUUUCAGAGAAUGGAAGCCCGGUAGAAUCUGUCUGGGUAAGAAUACAAGGAGAGAACAACAGAAAGGACACCAUUGUAGGAGUUUAUUAUAGGCCCCCUGGACAAACAGAAGAUAUGGAUGCUCUCUUUCUAGAUCAGAUNGCUAAACUCUCAAGAAAGCAUGACAUAGUGCUUAUGGGAGAUUUUAACUAUCCAGACAUUUGUUGGGAAUCCCUCUCAGGCAAAAGUCACAAGUCUAAUAAGUUCUUAUCCUCUCUUGCUGACAACUUCAUCUACCAAAAGGUGGAGGAGAAAACAAGAGGACUGGCUAUCCUCAAUCUAAUUCUUACCAACAGGGAGGAAAUGGUUGAGAAAAUCAGAGUUUCUG